UCAUGAUGGCGAAGGACGAGGAAGUCGCUUAGCAAUUUCCUCAAACAGUUGAUUUAUGUUGUCUGCAGUCUUGGCAGAAGUCUCAAUAAAGAACAUUCCAUUCUUCUCAGCAUAGUCCAUACCAUCUUGAACCGGUACUUCUCGAUUCUCAUGAAGAUCAGCCUUGUUCCCAACUAAAGCAAGGACUAUGUCAGGGCUUCCGUGUUUCUGUAGUUCCUUAACCCAAUACUGCGCUUUGUUGAAUGACUCUGGGCUUGUUAUAUCAUAUACAAUAACUGCAACUGCAGCACCUCUGUAAUAUAGUGGUGCCAGUGCAGCGUAUCUUUCUUGCCCUGCAGUGUCCCAUAUUUCAAACUUAACUGUUGUAGAAUCUUGCAAAGCAAUGGUCUGUGACAAAAACGAAGCUCCAAUAGUUACCUUGGAUGUUGGAUCAAAUUGUCCACGAACAAAACGUAGAACAAUACAGCUUUUACCAACACCAGAAUCACCUAACAAUACCAGCUUUACACGUAGGUUUUUGGCAUCAGGCACUCCAUU
rnacentral:misc_RNA from 1 species